AUUGAGACAGGGUGUCCCCUUAGGUGAUCCUAAGAAGAUGUGUUCAUGGAAAUUAUGGUCAUAGUAGUUCCUUAAGUGAAGCUUGACAUAAGCUCUUUGAGAGCUAAGAUAUUUCAAUUGAACACACAAUAUGAAGAUUUGUAACUAAAAGAUGGAGAGGUAGUCUUGAAAGGCUGAUAGCUUUCACCUUGCUAGACCAUGGACACCAGUUCAUGGGGAGAUUGAACACAAUGGAUAGCAUGUCACGGACCUGAGCACUUGGUGUCUUGUUGUUAUUUACAUAGGAUACUAGAGUUCAGUUGAUUCUUUAUAGAGGGAUGUUGAAUCAACUUUAGAAU
rnacentral:lncRNA from 1 species